rnacentral:rRNA from 1 species
AUGCUUGUUCAUGUCCAUUUCGCGGUUGGGUUUUGCUUGGUUACUUGUAUCUUGUUCUUGCUUCUAUGCUUGUUCAUCCUCAUGGUGGCCGGGCAGCCGCUGCAAAGAGCUGACAGCCUUGUGGAGAUUGCCGGCCCGCUGGGCUACAGAGCACAAGCUCGAUCGGGCUGUGUCUGUGUGCACGUACACUCAGAGCCGCAGAUUGUCGGGAGCUCCAAUGUGACGCUUUUUCCGUCAAAGAGUCGACGUGCCGCACAGGGGCGCUCACUUGGGCCGGCCCGUUUGUCGACCGCGAGGAGAAAAACAGCGGAAUAG